rnacentral:lncRNA from 1 species
GAACAAUCUUCCACAAAUUUUGGUUCCUAAUGAAUCAUUUGUAGGAUAUAAAUUAAUUUUUGCAUCUCCUUUUGGUGGAGAUGUAGAAUUCAUUUCCUGCUGGAAAGGCUACUGGAAUAAUAAUGCACAGGUGGCUUGAGACCUAGCAUAAAUAUAUUAUGCCUUGGUAUGUCUCAUCUAUUAUGUAAAUAUGCAGUAUGCUCUGCACAGAAGGAGUGGAGUGAUGCUGAAGUGGGGUCGCACGCUUUCUGGCAGAGGUUUGUGAUGGUGUCCAACCAUGCAAAUCAAGCAUUGUGACCGUAGGAACUAUGGCUUCCAAACGGAUGUGCUCCCAAGGGAGGUUAGGAUACAAGCCUGGUCUCCUCAUUUUGUUUUCAUGGCAAAUGACCCAUUUACCAUUUACAGUCCCUGGAGGUUUUCAAGAAAAGGGUCGAUGUGGCACUGAGGAAAAUGGGCAUCCCUACAGCUCAGAAUCUGUGUUAUCACAUUUUCUUUUGCGAUAUGGUUGGCUUUGAAAAAGAUUUUGUUGCCACAG